CUCCCCUCCGCUUCAUCUUCCCUUCCCCUCUCCCCUAAACCCUAGCCCCUCUAAUCUCAAAUCCGCUCUUCUCCGCGUCGAUCGCUGCCGCGAUCCGAUCCGCCGUCGCCUGAGCCGCGCUGUACAUGACCAUGGUUGUCCCUCUCGUCCCCGAGCCGCCGCCGCAGGACCAGGAUGAGGAGAUGCUGGUCCCGCACCAGUAUGUUGUUGAGGGUCCGCGGCCGAUGGAAGGAAUUUUAUCGUGAGGAAAAGCACUCCCAACUGAGGUCAUUUGGAUAGAUUCUGCCAUGAGCGUUGACAUUGGACAUGGAGUCACAAAUGACUGGAGAGUUGGAUGAAAAGGUGCGUGAUGCAUUCCAUCUUUACAUUGAAGCCUGUGGCAUAAAUGAGAAGCUCUUCCCUUUUCUACAAGCUUGGCUUUAUGUAAAGGAUCACCGCAACCUCAUACGCUGGUUCAAGAGUGUUGUUUCAUUCAUCAGUGAGCCAAAGCCAAAAUAAGAUGUCAAGAAUGCCAUGCUCAAGAUUAUCUGGAGGGCGGUUGAGGAAAGGUUUUUGCCAGGAUGGAGAAUAGUGCUAGGGUAAAGUGAAUUCAGUACAAGAUGCUGUGCCAUGGAGGAGUUUUUGCUUCUGAUAAUGUCACUGGCGUGCUUAAUGGGUUGGAUGGUGGCUCAUGAGUUGUCGUUAUUCCUUGUGAUUUGCCGCCCCGUCUUGCUGAGGUGGUUGUCAGAUUCUCAAUUAUUCAAGCUCCACACUUGUCCAAGAUAAAAGAUAUCGAUCCUGCAAAGACUCAUGUGUCCAAUUGAGAUCUUCACUUUUCUUCCUUACGCUGGUAUGUUUGUGGCUGUAACUUUCAAGUGACAAGAUCAUAACAAAGUCCGACUGUGCGUUUGUUUUGGUGCA